rnacentral:rRNA from 1 species
UAACCUGCCCAUCAGAAGGGGAUAACACUUGGAAACAGGUGCUAAUACCGUAUAACACUAUUUUCCGCAUGGAAGAAAGUUGAAAGGCGCUUUUGCGUCACUGAUGGAUGGACCCGCGGUGCAUUAGCUAGUUGGUGAGGUAACGGCUCACCAAGGCAACGAUGCAUAGCCGACCUGAGAGGGUGAUCGGCCACACUGGGACUGAGACACGGCCCAGACUCCUACGGGAGGCAGCAGUAGGGAAUCUUCGGCAAUGGACGAAAGUCUGACCGAGCAACGCCGCGUGAGUGAAGAAGGUUUUCGGAUCGUAAAACUCUGUUGUUAGAGAAGAACAAGGAUGAGAGUAAAAUGUUCAUCCCUUGACGGUAUCUAACCAGAAAGCCACGGCUAACUACGUGCCAGCAGCCGCGGUAAUACGUAGGUGGCAAGCGUUGUCCGGAUUUAUUGGGCGUAAAGCGAGCGCAGGCGGUUUCUUAAGUCUGAUGUGAA